rnacentral:rRNA from 1 species
GCACAUGCUGUGAGCUCGAUGAGUAGGGCGGGACACGUGGUAUCCUGUCUGAAUAUGGGGGGACCAUCCUCCAAGGCUAAAUACUCCUGACUGACCGAUAGUGAACCAGUACCGUGAGGGAAAGGCGAAAAGAACCCCGGCGAGGGGAGUGAAAAAGAACCUGAAACCGUGUACGUACAAGCAGUGGGAGCACGCUUAGGCGUGUGACUGCGUACCUUUUGUAUAAUGGGUCAGCGACUUAUAUUCUGUAGCAAGGUUAACCGAAUAGGGGAGCCGAAGGGAAACCGAGUCUUAACUGGGCGUUAAGUUGCAGGGUAUAGACCCGAAACCCGGUGAUCUAGCCAUGGGCAGGUUGAAGGUUGGGUAACACUAACUGGAGGACCGAACCGACUAAUGUUGAAAAAUUAGCGGAUGACUUGUGGCUGGGGGUGAAAGGCCAAUCAAACCGGGAGAUAGCUGGUUCUCCCCGAAAGCUAUUUAGGUAGCGCCUCGUGAAUUCAUCUCCGGGGGUAGAGCACUGUUUCGGCAAGGGGGUCAUCCCGACUUACCAACCCGAUGCAAACUGCGAAUACCGGAGAAUGUUAUCACGGGAGACACACGGCGGGUGCUAACGUCCGUCGUGAAGAGGGAAACAACCCAGACCGCCAGCUAAGGUCCCAAAGUCAUGGUUAAGUGGGAAACGAUGUGGGAAGGCCCAGACAGCCAGGAUGUUGGCUUAGAAGCAGCCAUCAUUUAAAGAAAGCGUAAUAGCUCACUGGUCGAGUCGGCCUGCGCGGAAGAUGUAACGGGGCUAAACCAUGCACCGAAGCUGCGGCAGCGACGCUUAUGCGUUGUUGGGUAGGGGAGCGUUCUGUAAGCCUGUGAAGGUGUGCUGUGAGGCAUGCUGGAGGUAUCAGAAGUGCGAAUGCUGACAUAAGUAACGAUAAAGCGGGUGAAAAGCCCGCUCGCCGGAAGACCAAGGGUUCCUGUCCAACGUUAAUCGGGGCAGGGUGAGUCGACCCCUAAGGCGAGGCCGAAAGGCGUAGUCGAUGGGAAACAGGUUAAUAUUCCUGUACUUGGUGUUACUGCGAAGGGGGGACGGAGAAGGCUAUGUUGGCCGGGCGACGGUUGUCCCGGUUUAAGCGUGUAGGCUGGUUUUCCAGGCAAAUCCGGAAAAUCAAGGCUGAGGCGUGAUGACGAGGCACUACGGUGCUGAAGCAACAAAUGCCCUGCUUCCAGGAAAAGCCUCUAAGCAUCAGGUAACAUCAAAUCGUACCCCAAACCGACACAGGUGGUCAGGUAGAGAAUACCAAGGCGCUUGAGAGAACUCGGGUGAAGGAACUAGGCAAAAUGGUGCCGUAACUUCGGGAGAAGG